AUAUAGGUCUGUAGCAGUUUGGGUCUAGAGUGUCAAAAAUAUAAAUAGUAAAGUAAAGUACAGAUAUCCCCGAAAACGACUUAAGUAGUACGUUCAAGUAUGUUUUACUUAAGGACACGUCACUGGACACAUCAACAAACAAAACCCAUCCCACUCCUUCAGUCACUGUCCAAUCCAAAACAGGAGCCUGUGAAGGAAGAACAGUCAUCGACACGAUUCCUUGCAAGACCUCGGCUGGCCCACUACUGCAUCACUGUCACGGCAGGUAACCUGGCUUUGUCACGACCGUCAUGGGAAGAAGUGGACCAAAGCGCAGCGUGGACCAAGACGGGACUGGAGCGUAGUAGUCCACACUGACUAAACACCUCCCUCUGCAACUGGAUCCUGGACUUCCUGACGGGCCACCCCCAGGUGGUCAGGGUAGGUAGCAACACAUCUGCCACGCUGAUCCUCAACACUGGAGCCCCCCAGGGGUAC